AGAGUUUGAUCCUGGCUCAGAGUGAACGCUGGCGGCAGGCCUAACACAUGCAAGUCGAACGGCAGCACAGGAGAGCUUGCUCUCUGGGUGGCGAGUGGCGGACGGGUGAGGAAUACAUCGGAAUCUACCUUUUCGUGGGGGAUAACGUAGGGAAACUUACGCUAAUACCGCAUACGACCUUCGGGUGAAAGCAGGGGACCUUCGGGCCCUGCGCGAUUAGAUGAGCCGAUGUCGGAUUAGCUAGUUGGUGAGGUAAAGGCUCACCAAGGCGACGAUCCGUAGCUGGUCUGAGAGGAUGAUCAGCCACACUGGAACUGAGACACGGUCCAGACUCCCACGGGAGGCAGCAGUGGGGAAUAUUGGACAAUGGGCGCAAGCCUGAUCCAGCCAUGCCGCGUGGGUGAAGAAGGCCUUCGGGUUGUAAAGCCCUUUUGUUGGGAAAGAAAAGCAGUCGAUUAAUACUCGAUUGUUCUGACGGCACCCAAAGAAUAAGCACCGGCUAACUUCGUGCCAGCAGCCGCGGUAAUACGAAGGGUGCAAGCGUUACUCGGAAUUACUGGGCGUAAAGCGUGCGUAGGUGGUGAGUUAAGUCCGUUGUGAAAGCCCUGGGCUCAACCUGGGAAUUGCAGUGGGUACUGGGUCACUAGAGUGUGGUAGAGGGUAGCGGAAUUCCCGGUGUAGCAGUGAAAUGCGUAGAGAUCGGGAGGAACAUCUGUGGCGAAGGCGGCUACCUGGACCAACA
rnacentral:rRNA from 1 species